GUGGCAGGGAGCCACCACUUAUGUUACUGGACCAUUCUGCCUCUCAGAAAGCCUUUCCUCUCACUGGAAUGAACCAGUCUUCCUGGAAGCCCCCUCCCUGGACUUUGCUCUAUUCUGGAACUGCACACUCUGCCCUUAGGCAAUGUAGGGAACACAAAAGCGGAGUGUCUUCCAGGGCCUUCUGCUCCGUUGCUUUGGGGAAUGUCUCCACAGGAGGGUGCCAGCUGCCCUUAGAGUGCAUUGCACACCCUUUCAGCCCUGCUUCAAGACUGCACAUGUUACUUGACUGGUGAGAAUGGAAAAUAGUGCAACUGCUGGGGAUGGGGUGUGGGAAGAAGGGCGGUGGCUACUCAAGCAAUGAAACAGAUCCAGAUACUCCAUUUUUCAAUAUGUGCCACCAUUCAAAAUAGGUAUUCAGGUAUUUGUAUACCAAUGCUUGAAGCAGUAUUAUUCACGACAGCCAAAAGAUAGAAACAACCUCAAUGGCCAUCAGUGGAUAAGUUAAUAAACAUGGUAUAUCUCCACAGUGGAAUAUUAUUUAGGCGUAAAAAGAAGAACACUCUGACACAGGCUACUAUGUGGAUAAGGCUCGAAGACAAUAUGCUAAGUGAAGUAAGCAAGAUGCAGAGGCCAGCUGCCACUUUCGUGGAUACCUACACUAAGGAAAUUUAUAGAGACAGAAAGUGAAAUCAUGAUCACCAGUGUCUGGGUGAGAAGGAGAGAAAUAUGAAGUUAUUGAUCAAGGAGAUGAGCUUCUGUCUAGGAGGAUGAAAAAGUUCUGGAGAUGAGUAAGCGUGAUGGUUGUACAACAUUGUGAAUAUACUAAGGCCACUGAAUUGCACACUUAAAGAUGGUUGGAAUGUUAAUUUCAUGUUAUGUAUAUUUACAUGAGUAAAAACACUUUUUUUAAAAGGCCAUGCGUAUGUCCCUUUCAUACUUGGCCAAAUCUCAGCCAAACUACCAGGCAUUUACAAGAAGCUACUGAGUACAGAGAUUGUCUUCCGUUCGGUGGGCCACAGACCCC
rnacentral:lncRNA from 1 species